UACAUGGGGUGCAAACGUUGCUCGGAAUUAUUGGGCGUAAAGCGCACGUAGGCGGUUUGUUAAGUCGGAUGUGAAAUCCCUCGGCUCAACUGAGGAAGUGCAUCCGAAACUGGCAAGCUUGAGUACGAAAGAGGGUCGCGGAAUUCCCGGUGUAGAGGUGAAAUUCGUAGAUAUUCGGAAGAACACCAGUGGCGAAGGCGGCUCACUGGACUGGUAUUGACGCUGAGGUGCGAAAGCGUGGGGAGCAAACAGG
rnacentral:rRNA from 1 species